UACGGGGGGGGUAAGCGUUGUUCGGAAUUACUGGGCGGAAAGGGCUCGUAGGCGGCCAACUAAGUCGGACGUGAAAUCCCUCAGCUUAACUGGGGAACUGCGUCCGAUACUGGAUGGCUUGGAUUUGGGAGAGGGAUGCGGAAUUCCAGGUGUAGCGGUGAAAUGCGUAGAUAUCUGGAGGAACACCGGUGGCGAAGGCGGCAUCCUGGACCAACAUUGACGCUGAGGAGCGAAAGCUAGGGGAGCAAACGGG
rnacentral:rRNA from 1 species